AAGUCGUAACAAGGUUUCCGUAGGUGAACCUGCGGAAGGAUCAUUAUUAAACGUUACUUCGGUAACUGAAUAUCCUUAACACCUGUGCAUCUUGUCGCUCCGGCGAUAUUAUACAAACAUCAGUGUAAAGAAUGUAUUAUAUUAUAACAAAUACAACUUUCAACAACGGAUCUCUUGGCUCUC
rnacentral:misc_RNA from 1 species